UCCUCUUAGCACAUCAGCUCCUGGAAACAAAUGCACUUAACCAGAAAAAUAGGGACAUCAACCAGCAAAGAUGCAUCCUCAUUUAAUAGAGCUUGAAAUUACUAUAAUCUUUAAAGUACAGUGAGAAGAAGAAAUUUCACCUGCCUGCACAUCUGUCGUUGACUCUCCAUCUGACUUGGAGGGACUCUGAGGGACCAACCUGAGCCUGAGAAGAGGCAAGAUUCCCCUUCAAGGACACACUGGGAACUUACGGACCUCUUUCUCCAUGGUGCAGAGCGCAGAGAAGACAGCAGGAUUCUCAUCUCUCCUUCUGCAUUCCAUUUGAGACAAGAUGUUCGAAUUGAAGCAAAUGAGAAACAUACAAAGAAAUGAAGUAAAUAAAGAAGCUAUGGCCUCACCCUGGUAUGUUGCUGCAGGAGCGACAGCAGCAAACACAGGAAACUCAAGGAAAAUCAGUGUGGCUAGAGACAGAUACCGAACUGGAGCCUGGAAUGAGUUGAGGCUGGAGAGGGAGGUGAACAAACAGACUCAGAAUAGUCCUUGAGCUUGCCAUUGGGAAGUGAAAAUCAACUGCUUGAAUAAAUGUAAGGACUCAGGUAGAAAUCGCCUUGUGACCCAACAGCAGCCAAUAAGAUGGAAAUAAAGGCUACAAAGUUAUCAGAUGGCAUCUACAAGGAAUACUUAGAUGAGGAGAGACAGCAUCUCCCUAUGUUACGCAGGCUGGUCUCGAACUCCUGGCCUCAAGCAAUCCUCUUGCCUCAGCCUCCCAAAACGUUGGUAUUAUAGGCGAGCGCCACUGCACCUGACCCAUCAAGUGUUUUCUGUGGAAUGUGAGAUGCCCCCUACCCAGUACUUCCUCCUGCCAUGUUCACGAGGAGAAGCUGGUGAAGAUGGCUGUUUUGGUACAUUGCAUCAGGCCAAAUGACUGAAGUAUCAACAAAAGACCUCAAAAAAGAGUUCUUCAGAAGCCAUUUUCUUUUACCCAAGCCAUUGCUGGGAUGCCGAGGGUUUCAUUAUUUUUCUCAAUAUAAAUCAGAAGGUUUAAAGAGCUCUUAAAAAGAACUAUGUGAAUUUUCUGUGGUGAAGUUCCUUCUGCAUUUAUACCACCCUGAUCUCCAGUUCUCAUUCCUGGGAAAGCCAUGAUGUUUUACAAUUGCAUGUAAUUGAUACUAUGUACAAGGAGUUUAAAAAACUAUGCUGGCCGGGCGCGGUGGCUCAUGCCUGUAAUCCCAGCUCUUAGGGUGGCCAAGGCUGGUGGAUCACGAGGUCAAGAGAUCGAGACCAUCCUGGCCAACAUGGUGAAACCCUGUCUCUACUAAAAAUAUAAAAAAUUAGCCGGGCGUGGUGGCGGGUGCCUGUAGUCCCAGCUCUACCCGGGAGGCUGAGGCAGGAGAAUGGCGUGAACCCGGGAGGCAGAGCUUGUAGUGAGCCGAGAUCACGCCACUAUACUCCAGCCUGGGUGACAAAGCGAGACUCCGUCUCAAAAUAAACAAACAAACAAAAAAACCGAAAAACUAUGCUAUGAGCAAGUGGCACAUUAUUCUGUUGUCAAAAAUUCAAGUCACUGGGUGAACCCUGGUG